rnacentral:rRNA from 1 species
UACGUAGGGGACAAGCGUUGUCCGGAUUUACUGGGCGUAAAGAGCGCGCAGGCGGUCGUUCAAGUCGAGUGUGAAAGCCCCCGGCUCAACUGGGGAGGGUCACUCGAUACUGAUCGACUCGAAGGCAGGAGAGGGUAGUGGAAUUCCCGGUGUAGUGGUGAAAUGCGUAGAUAUCGGGAGGAACACCAGUGGCGAAGGCGACUACCUGGCCUGUUCUUGACGCUGAGGCGCGAAAGCUAGGGGAGCAAACAGG